rnacentral:lncRNA from 1 species
UUUUUGCUCCAACAUUUGAUAUUCGCCUCGAUGUCGGUGAGGGAAACUUGAAGGUGUUGUGGAUGUCGCGAAGUCACAUUACAGUAAGCAAGGCGGUAACGCUGAUUGCAAGGGGUUAACUG